AUUGAACGCUGGCGGCAUGCCUUACACAUGCAAGUCGAACGGCAGCGGACCUUCGGGUGCCGGCGAGUGGCGAACGGGUGAGUAAUAUAUCGGAACGUACCUUUCAGUGGGGGAUAACGUAGCGAAAGUUACGCUAAUACCGCAUAUUCUGUGAGCAGGAAAGCAGGGGAUCGCAAGACCUUGCGCUGAUUGAGCGGCCGAUAUCAGAUUAGCUAGUUGGUGAGGUAAAGGCUCACCAAGGCGACGAUCUGUAGCGGGUCUGAGAGGAUGAUCCGCCACACUGGAACUGAGACACGGUCCAGACUCCUACGGGAGGCAGCAGUGGGGAAUAUUGGACAAUGGGCGAAAGCCUGAUCCAGCAAUGCCGCGUGUGUGAAGAAGGCCUGAGGGUUGUAAAGCACUUUCAAUCGUGAAGAAAAGUUAGCAGGCUAAUACCCUGUGACCUUGACGUUAACGAUACAAGAAGCA
rnacentral:rRNA from 1 species